UAGGGAAUUUUUCACAAUGAGCGAAAGCUUGAUGGAGCAAUGCCGCGUGAACGAUGAAGGUCUUUAAGAUUGUAAAGUUCUUUUAUUUGGGAAGAAUGACUUUAGCAGGUAAUGGCUAGAGUUUGACUGUACCAUUUUGAAUAAGUGACGACUAACUAUGUGCCAGCAGUCGCGGUAAUACAUAGGUCGCAAGCGUUAUCCGGAUUUAUUGGGCGUAAAGCAAGCGCAGGCGGAUUGAAAAGUCUGGUGUUAAAGGCAGCUGCUUAACAGUUGUAUGCAUUGGAAACUAUUAAUCUAGAGUGUGGUAGGGAGUUUUGGAAUUUCAUGUGGAGCGGUGAAAUGCGUAGAUAUAUGAAGGAACACCAGUGGCGAAGGCGAAAACUUAGGCCAUUACUGACGCUUAGGCUUGAAAGUGUGGGGAGCAAAUAGGAUUAGAUACCCUAGUAGUCCACACCGUAAACGAUAGAUACUAGCUGUCGGGGCGAUCCCCUCGGUAGUGAAGUUAACACCUUAAGUAUCUCGCCUGGGUAGUACAUUCGCAAGAAUG
rnacentral:rRNA from 1 species